AUUGAACGCUGGCGGCAGGCAACACAUGCAAGUCGAGCGGCAGCGACUUAACUGAACCUUCGGGGAACGUUAAGGGCGGCGAGCGGCGGACGGGUGAGUAAUGCCUGGGAAUAUGCCCUGAUGUGGGGGAUAACUAUUGGAAACGAUAGCUAAUACCGCAUAAUCUCUUCGGAGCAAAGAGGGGGACCUUCGGGCCUCUCGCGUCAGGAUUAGCCCAGGUGGGAUUAGCUUGUUGGUGAGGUAAUGGCUCACCAAGGCAACGAUCCCUAGCUGGUCUGAGAGGAUGAUCAGCCACACUGGAACUGAGACACGGCCCAGACUCCUACGGGAGGCAGCAGUGGGGAAUAUUGCACAAUGGGGGAAACCCUGAUGCAGCCAUGCCGCGUGUGUGAAGAAGGCCUUCGGGUUGUAAAGCACUUUCAGUAGGGAGGAAGGUAGUGUAGUUAACACCUGCAUUAUUUGACGUUACCUACAGAAGAAGCACCGGCUAACUCCGUGCCAGCAGCCGCGGUAAUACGGAGGGUGCGAGCGUUAAUCGGAAUUACUGGGCGUAAAGCGCAUGCAGGCGGCCUGUUAAGUCAGAUGUGAAAGCCCGGGGCUUAACCUCGGAAUUGCAUUUGAAACUGGCAGGCUAGAGUCUUGUAGAGGGGGGUAGAAUUUCAGGUGUAGCGGUGAAAUGCGUAGAGAUCUGAAGGAAUACCAGUGGCGAAGGCGGCCCCCUGGACAAAGACUGACGCUCAGAUGCGAAAGCGUGGGGAGCAAACAGG
rnacentral:rRNA from 1 species